rnacentral:misc_RNA from 1 species
UUUAAACUUGAAAUAAGGCCAGCUUUGGCUAGAGACGACUUACCGCUACCUGAUGCACCAACGAUGGCCAGGAAGCGAUUGUCUGCCCGCAACUCGACCUUUGGACGUAACUCAUCCAGCAACCACUGCGUAAGCGCUUCGCGACCGAAAAAGAAAUGCGCAUGAUCGGCCUCGAAUGCCUGAAGUCCUCGAUAGGGGCAAGCACUUUCGUCGAUCACUUGGUUAGACGCUGGUCCGGGUUCGACACCGCGGAUCCCACACAGAAGGCGAUGGAACGCUUCGUCGUCGUCAAGUGUGUUACGGAAUUCGACCCACGUCGUAGCCACGAGAAAAGACGGUAGCUGACUACGGUCGGGUCGGUCGGUC